AUUGAACGCUGGCGGCAUGCUUUACACAUGCAAGUCGAGCGGCAGCGCGGGGGCGAACCCUCGCGGCGAGCGGCGAACGGGUGAGGAACACAUCGGAACGUGCCCCGGACGUGGGGAGUAACGCCGCGAAAGCGGCGCUAAUACCGCAUAUGCUCUGAGGAGGAAAGCGGGGGACCGAGCAAUGGCCUCGCGCUCUGGGAGCGGCCGAUGUCCGAUUAGCAGUUGGUGGGGUAAUGGCCCACCAAGGCGACGAUCGGUAGCUGGUCUGAGAGGAUGAUCAGCCACACUGGGACUGAGACACGGCCCAGACUCCUACGGGAGGCAGCAGUGGGAAUUUU
rnacentral:rRNA from 1 species